GAUGAACGCUAGCUACAGGCUUAACACAUGCAAGUCGAGGGGAAACGGCAUUGAGUGCUUGCACUCUUUGGACGUCGACCGGCGCACGGGUGAGUAACGCGUAUCCAACCUUCCCAUUACUGUGGAAUAACCUGCCGAAAGGCAGACUAAUACCGCAUAGUCUUCGAUGACGGCAUCAGAUUUGAAGUAAAGAUUUAUCGGUAAUGGAUGGGGAUGCGUCUGAUUAGCUUGUUGGCGGGGUAACGGCCCACCAAGGCGACGAUCAGUAGGGGUUCUGAGAGGAAGGUCCCCCACAUUGGAACUGAGACACGGUCCAAACUCCUACGGGAGGCAGCAGUGAGGAAUAUUGGUCAAUGGACGGAAGUCUGAACCAGCCAAGUAGCGUGCAGGAUGACGGCCCUAUGGGUUGUAAACUGCUUUUGUAUGGGGAUAAAGUUAGGGACGUGUCCCUAUUUGCAGGUACCAUACGAAUAAGGACCGGCUAAUUCCGUGCCAGCAGCCGCGGUAAUACGGAAGGUCCAGGCGUUAUCCGGAUUUAUUGGGUUUAAAGGGAGCGUAGGCUGGAUAUUAAGUGUGUUGUGAAAUGUAGACGCUCAACGUCUGACUUGCAGCGCAUACUGGUUUCCUUGAGUACGCACAACGUUGGCGGAAUUCGUCGUGUAGCGGUGAAAUGCUUAGAUAUGACGAAGAACUCCGAUUGCGAAGGCAGCUGACGGGAGCGCAACUGACGCUUAAGCUCGAAGGUGCGGGGUAUCAAACAGG
rnacentral:rRNA from 1 species